rnacentral:lncRNA from 1 species
AGACAAAGCACGUAUGUAUGUAUGUAUGUCUCAAAUGUAAUGUAAGUUAACUGGUACGCAACGCCAAUGUCAUAUUCUAUCUUCACUUCUGGAAAAUAACUUCUUUGUUAUAUUUUGCAGAAUAAUCUUCACAGCUGCAUGCAUUUGCAUUUGUGAACGCAUUCUGGGAAUUAAAAGGUGAUUGGAUUUGGGAGGGAUGAUGGGGGACCAGAUCAGAUCAGAUCAGUCAUCAGUGGUGGCUGAAAAGGUGUGCAUGCAUGUGAUCAAUCAAUGGUGGGAUCUAUCUACUACACUACAGUCUAACCUCACUGAGCUUCUCCCUCCAUCCCCACCAAACCUAGAAAAAAAAAAAAAAAAAAAAAAAAAAAAAAAAAAAAAAAAAAAAAAGAAGAAGAAAAUUAUGCAUUUCUUGAAUGUUACAUAAAGGAAGCGAAUUGAUUUUGUCCGUACAUAUAACUCACGGUGAAGGUGGAUGUGUUGGUUUUUAGAUCUAAGUCUAACUAGAGUGGCACCUAACAUUUCUUACGCUACACAUUUUGUGACCAAAAAACAAAUUAUAGAUAUGCAAUAAGUGCCCCUUUUUUAUCGUAUUUGCC